AAGGUAGCGAAAUUCCUUGUCGGGUAAGUUCCGACCUGCACGAAUGGCGUAACGACUUUCCUACUGUCUCAACCACAGACCCGGCGAAAUUGAAGUACGAGUAAAGAUGCUCGUUAGCUGCAGAAGGACGGAAAGACCCCGUGGACCUUUACUAUAGCUUGAUGUUGGGUUUUGUUAUGUGUUGUGUAGGAUAGGUGGGAGACUGGGGAAGCAUUGGCGCUAGUCAGUGUGGAGUCAUCGUUGAAAUACCACCCUGCUCAUAACGGAACUCUAACCCACGUCCCUUAUCGGGAUGGGGGACAGCGUCUGGUGGGUAGUUUGACUGGGGCGGUCGCCUCCUAAAGAGUAACGGAGGCGCCCAAAGGUUCCCUCAGGCUGGUUGGUAAUCAGCCGUCGAGUGCAAUGGCACAAGGGAGCUUGACUGCGAGACCUACAAGUCAAGCAGGUGCGAAAGCAGGG
rnacentral:rRNA from 1 species